GAUGAAUUGAAAUUCCCCAUGCUAAUAAAGCUGCAUAUGCUAUCACGAUCUGCUGCCCCAGAAGACCUUUCUACAAUGAAAGGAGCUUUUCCCUUGACAGGUGAGGGCUUCCAAUAUGAAGUUUCCUUAGCAGGGGUGAAGAUUCCACAUUGGGCAAGAGAAGAGAUUCUGUAUUCUUUGAGGCGGAGGGGGCUCCUCAGGAAAUUUCCAGAAGGCUUGACUGAAGUGUGGCAGUGA
rnacentral:lncRNA from 1 species